GGUGUUGACGAUGCCCGAGGCAAGCCCCGAAUCGCUCGGCGCGACGUCGCUCAUCGCGGCGAGCAGCACCGGAUUGAACGCGACGCCCGCGCCGACGCCGACGAGUAUCAUCCCCGGCAGCACGUGCGCGACGAAGCCGCCGUCGGCGGGUGCACGCGCGAAGAGGGCAAGGCCCGCGGCCGCGAUGACGAGCCCGGCGCCGAUCGCGCGGCGGAUGCCGAAGCGCAUCACGAUCUUCGCGGACAAGCCGAGCGAGAACGCGGCCAUGAUCAGGUUCGCGGGCAGAAACGCCAGGCCGACCUGGAGCGGCCCGUAGCCGAGCACGCGCUGCAUGUAGAGCGCGGAAAGAAAGAACCACGCGAACAUCGCGGCCGCCCACAGCACGCCGAUCACGUUCGCGACCGCGACGUUGCGCUGCGUGGCGAGCGCGAGCGGCAUCAGCGGAUGCGCGGCGCGCGUCUCGAUCGCGAUGAACGCCGCGAGCAGCGCGGCCGCGCCUGCGAGCGUCGCGACCGUCUGCGUCGACAGCCAGCCGGCCUCGUUGCCGUUGACGAUGCCGUAGACGGCGAGCAUCAGCGAAGCGGUCACGGCGAUCGCGCCCGCGACGUCGAGCCGCGCGUCGGCCGCCUGCGGGCGCACCUUCGGCAGCAGCGCGGCGGACAGCGCGUACGCGGCGACGCCGAUCGGCAGAUUGACGAGGAAGAUCCAGUGCCAGCUGAGCACGCUCGUGAGGACGCCGCCGAGCAGCACGCCGAGGCUGCCGCCGCCCGCGCAGACGAAGCUGUAGACGCCCAUCGCCUUCGCGCGCUCGCCCGGCUCGGUGAAGAGAUUCAUGAUGAGCGACAGCGCGACGGCGGACACCACCGCGCCACCGAACCCCUGCACCGCGCGCGCGGCGAUCAGCACGAACUGCGUUGGCGCGAGCCCGCACGCGAGCGAUGCGAGCGUGAACAGCGUGAGGCCGGCGAGGAACAUCCGGCGCUGGCCGUACAGAUCGCCGAGCCGGCCGCCCAGCAGCAGGCAGCCGCCGAACGUCAGCAUGUAAGCGUUCACGAUCCAGACGAGCGCGGUUUCGGUGAAGUGCAGGUCCGCGCCGAUCGACGGCAGCGCGACGUUGACGAUCGUCGAAUCGAGCACGAUCAUCAGCACGCCCAGACAGAGAACGACGAGCGCAUACCAGCGCUUGGGGCCGUGCAGACCGUGGGUCAUCGGGAAUGCCUCCGAAGGGUGGGAGGCAGCAUUGUAAGCGUGUCGUGAGUUGCCUUCCUGCCGGUUGCUGACAGGCCGUUCGCUUGCGUGCGGGCCGCGGCGGCGCGCGGCCCGCGUGUGGCGCGGCGCUUACCGGCGGAACGUGUCGACGGCCGUGCGGCCGACCGCGGGAUCGUCGGUGAAGAAGCCGUCGAUGCCCGCGCGCAGAUACGCCUGGAUUUCGCGCACCGAGCCCGCCGUGUGGCGCGCGCUCGGCGCGCCGCCGUCCUUCAGCGACGCCGGCAGGAAGUUGUUCUCCGGCCGGAACGUAUACGGAUGUACGGUGAGCCCCGCCUCGUGCGCGAAGCGUACGUAGCCGGUCGGCCGCUGCAGCGAGCCGUCCGGGCCGACCGGAAUGAUCGACGUCUUGUACGGGCCGACGCCGUUCGCGUACGUCGCGAUCUCGCGCAUGCCGCCUUGCGUCGACAGGUCGCCGUACGUGCGCGCGUCGCCCGCCUUCACGAAAUCGUACGGGCGCUGCUUCGGCUCGUCCAUCAGUUGCACGAGCUUCCAGUUCGGCUGGCUCGCGCCGAUCCGCGCGCGGAUCGCCUUCAGAUUCGCGACUUCGAACGACUGAAUGUAGACGGUCGCGUUGCGCGCGGUGUAGGGGUCCUUGCGCAGCGCGUCGACGAGGCGAUCCUCGAGCGGCAGGCCGAUCGACUGGAAGUAGGUCGGGUGCUUCGUUUCCGGAUAGAGGUGGAUCGUGCGGCCGACCUGCGCGGACAUCUGUUUCGCGAGCGCGACGAUCUCGUCGAACGUCGGGAUCUCGAACUGAUCGUCGUACGCGGUGUUCGCGGGACGGAUCUGCGGGAUGCGCUCGCGCGCGCGCAGCGUCUUCAGUUCGGCGAGCGUGAAAUCCUCGGUGAACCAGCCGGUGAGCUGCGCGCCGUCGAUCGUCUUCGUCGUCUUGCGGCUCGCGAACUGCGGCAGCGUCGAUACGUUCGUCGUGCCCGAGAUCUCGUUCUCGUGGCGCGCGACGAGCACGCCGUCUCGCGUCGCGACGAGGUCCGGUUCGAUCACGUCCGCGCCGUCCUCGAUCGCCUUGCGGUACGACGCGAGCGUGUGCUCGGGGCGCAACGCGCUCGCGCCGCGGUGGCCCACCACCUGCACCUUCGCGGAGAUCGGCUGCGUGUAGUCGGGGUCGUCGCCGCCGCAGGCGGCGAGCGCGAGUGUCGCCGCGCACGCGAGCGCGACAGGGGAGAAAGCGAACGAGCGCUUGAGAAACAUGUCGUCGAUCCUGUGAAACGAAAACGAACCCGGGAAAAGGCGCCUGCGCCCGCGCGGCGAGCGCUUGAGUGCGGCCGCGACGCAUCGUGCGCGGCAGCGGCCGGACGGGAUGCGAUCGUCGCAGCGAAUGAUUACAUAUGUAUUACUUGAUGCUGUCUAUUUUUGUACGCGGUGCGCGCGGCGCCGUGUCGGGGGCCGCACAUUGGCCGCGGGGUCCGGCGCGGCGUGUGCCGUGGCGGCGCGCAUGCGCGAAGGACGGGGAAGGGGCGAAGGGGACGCAGGGUAUAAAGAAGGCGAAUACUGCGAAUAUUGCGAAGAAGGCGAAGAAGGCGAAGGACGCGAAGGACGCGAAGGACGCGAAGGACGCGAAGGACGCGAAGGACGCGGCGGCGUCCGCAAGCGGACGUGCGAAGCAUGCCGACCGGCGCGGCAGCGCCGCGACGUCGGCCGCGAGGUGCUCGGCGCGGCCUGAUCGCGCGCCGGGCCGCGCGUCAGCGCUCGACGAUCGCGGCGACGCCGAGCGCGAUGAACAGCCCGCCCGCGAGAUAGCGCCCGAUGGUCAUCGCCGUGCCGCCCGGCGCCGCGCG
rnacentral:rRNA from 1 species